rnacentral:rRNA from 1 species
GACGAACGCUGGCGGCGUGCUUAACACAUGCAAGUCGAACGGAAAGGCCCUGCUUUUGUGGGGUGCUCGAGUGGCGAACGGGGGAGUAACACGUGAGUAACCUGCCCUUGACUUUGGGAUAACUUCAGGAAACUGGGGCUAAUACCGGAUAGGAGCUCCUGCAGCAUGGGGGGGGUUGGAAAGUGUCGGCGGUUGGGGAUGGACUCGCGGCGUAUCAGCGAGUUGGUGGGGUAGUGGCUUACCAAGGCUUUGACGGGUAGCCGGCCUGAGAGUGUGAUCGGCCACACUGGAACUGAGAAACGGUCCGUACUCCUACGGGAGGCAGCAGUGGGGAAUCGUCCGGAAGGGGCGGAAGCCUGACGGAGCAACGCCGCGUGAGUGAUGAAGGUCGUCGGAUCGUAAAAGUGUGUGAUUAGGGAAGAACAAAUGUGUAAGUAACUAUGCACGGCUUGACGGUACCUAAUCAGAAAGCCACGGCUAACUACGUG